rnacentral:lncRNA from 1 species
CCAUGGCUGAGGACGGGGUGGGACCCUCAGGCCUGGGUCGGGAGGCCCCCAGGGACUGCUCCCGCUUCCUGUUACCUCAGCCCUUGCUAGGGAAAUGAAGACCGGGCCACGGAGGCCUGUAUCCCAGCCCCCGCUCCCUGUUUAGCAGCCUGGGUUAGGUGUGGAGGGCCCAGUGAUGAUCCGGCCUGGGGCAUGAGGCAGCUCCUUAGGGAAGGGCCUGA